rnacentral:rRNA from 2 species
UCACUUAUAAUUGAGGCUGCAGCGGAGUCUUCGGCGGGGGGCGGCGGACGGGUGAGUAACACGUGGGCAACCUGCCUGUAAGACUGGGAUAACUCCGGGAAACCGGAGCUAAUACCGGAUACUAUGUCAAACCGCAUGGUUUGACAUUCAAAGACGGUUUCGGCUGUCACUUACAGAUGGGCCCGCGGCGCAUUAGCUAGUUGGUGAGGUAACGGCUCACCAAGGCGACGAUGCGUAGCCGACCUGAGAGGGUGAUCGGCCACACUGGGACUGAGACACGGCCCAGACUCCUACGGGAGGCAGCAGUAGGGAAUCUUCCGCAAUGGACGAAAGUCUGACGGAGCAACGCCGCGUGAGUGAUGAAGGUUUUCGGAUCGUAAAACUCUGUUGUCAGGGAAGAACAAGUGCCGGAGUAACUGCCGGCGCCUUGACGGUACCUGACCAGAAAGCCACGGCUAACUACGUGCCAGCAGCCGCGGUAAUACGUAGGUGGCAAGCGUUGUCCGGAAUUAUUGGGCGUAAAGCGCGCGCAGGCGGUUUCUUAAGUCUGAUGUGAAAGCCCCCGGCUCAACCGGGGAGGGUCAUUGGAAACUGGGAAACUUGAGUGCAGAAGAGGAGAGUGGAAUUCCACGUGUAGCGGUGAAAUGCGUAGAGAUGUGGAGGAACACCAGUGGCGAAGGCGACUCUCUGGUCUGUAACUGACGCUGAGGCGCGAAAGCGUGGGGAGCGAACAGGAUUAGAUACCCUGGUAGUCCACGCCGUAAACGAUGAGUGCUAAGUGUUAGAGGGUUUCCGCCCUUUAGUGCUGCAGCUAACGCAUUAAGCACUCCGCCUGGGAGUACGGUCGCAAGACUGAAACUCAAAGGAAUUGACGGGGGCCCGCACAAGCGGUGGAGCAUGUGGUUUAAUUCGAAGCAACGCGAAGAACCUUACCAGGUCUUGACAUCCUUUGCCACUUCUAGAGAUAGAGUUCCCCUUCGGGGGACAAAGUGACAGGUGUGCAUGGUUGUCGUCAGCUCGUGUCGUGAGAUGUUGGGUUUAAG